rnacentral:lncRNA from 1 species
CUUGGUCCCCAAGCAACAAAAGCCUCACACGCUCUAAUGCCCGCCGUGUCCUACACGCUUCAACGGCAUUGGAUACUUGUCGUCAAUUAUGAUAUUUGAUUGGCUGUUGGAGGUAUAUACUGCAGAAUUUAAAUUUAUGAUGGAUAAAAAUAAAAAACCUAAAAAAUAGGAAUAAUAUUAGAUUUUAAAUAUUCUAAAGUAGGCAG